UGCCUGAUGCUGCCAUGGGCUCCAGGCUCCUUUGCUGUGUGGCUCUUUGUCUCCUGGAAGCAGGCCAAGUGGAUUCUGGAGUCAUCCAAACCCCAAGACACCUGAUCAAAGCAAAAGGACAACACAUGACACUGAAAUGUUCCCCUAUAUCUACACAUCUCUCUGUGUACUGGUACCAACAGGCCCUGGGCCAGGGACCCCAGUUCCUCAUUCAGUAUUACGAUGGAGAAGAGAGAGAAAAAGGAAACAUCUCGGGUCGAUUCUCAGGUCAACAGUUUCGUGAUCGAAGCUCUGAGCUGAAUGUGAGCAUCCUGGAGCUGACUGACUCUGCUUUGUAUCUCUGUGCCAGCAGCUUGGCACAGCCCUACAUGAUCAGCAGCCUACAGCACAAAAACUUUCCUGCCCCAGCUCAGGAAGUGAACAUGAGGGUGGUAGCUGCCAGGGAGACAGGCUCAGGGCCUCAGUUAUCAGACAGGCCUUCCCCUGACACUUUUCCUGCUUCUUGGCCAGAUUAG